rnacentral:rRNA from 1 species
UACAGAGGGUGCGAGCGUUGUUCGGAAUUAUUGGGCGUAAAGGGCGCGUAGGCGGUGCGGUAAGUCACCUGUGAAAUCUCCUGGCUCAACUGGGAGCUUGCAGGCGAAACUGCCGUGCUGGAGUGUGGGAGAGGUGCGUGGAAUUCCUGGUGUAGCGGUGAAAUGCGUAGAUAUCAGGAGGAACACCUGUGGCGAAAGCGGCGCACUGGACCACAACUGACGCUGCGGCGCGAAAGCUAGGGGAGCAAACAGG